CUCUGAUUCAGUUUGAGAAAAGAGGACACAAAAGCAUGAAUAACAGGAGGAUGGAUAUAGAAUACCAGCAUCAGCAAGUGUACACGAUUUAAAGCACAUUUGGUAUCUAUUACCAAGCUGCCCUUCAGAGAGGUUGUCUCGUUACACAUUCCACAGCUGUGACUGAGAAACCGUCUUGUCGCAUUUGACAAUCCAGGUUACUAUCUAAAAACUUGAGUUUGUAAGAGCAACACGCCAUGAGAUAAUAUUCGUGCAAAUGUAACUGACAAAAGACUAACAUCCCAUAAUACUAGAGCACCUACAAACCAAGAAGAUAAACAUCCCAUUGGGAAAGUGUAAAAAUAUGAACAUAAAGUUUACAGAAGAAAAAACACAAAUGGCUCAUAAACACACAAAAAGAUGAUAUUGCUUCCUGGUAAUUGGGGAAAUGCAAACAAAAACUACAAUGAAAUAUCGUGGUAUCGUGUAUCAAAUUUGCAGAGCAUAAAAUAGAUUACAUUCGCAACCAGCAACUACAACCCAACCUUCAGCCUCACUGGACUUCUUGCCAUUCCCCAAACCAUAUCCACGCCCCUCUCCACAGGCUGUUCCUUCUGCCUGCAUGCCCUCGAUGGCACCAAGGGGGAUGGGCACACUAACACAACUGCUGGGAAUGGGAAAGUUUCAACCUCUUGGGAAUAAAAUCUAACAGUAUUUAUUGGAAUGUAACCUGUGCAUACUCCACAGCUGGGCCACUACCCUGCAAGAACCCCUCUGGCUGCUGCACAAAGCUCUUCUCUGCAUCCUUUUUUAUACUAGUGGAACCCUGGACACAGCCUGCAUAUGGAUCAAAAGGGCAGUGGUUAUAAAUAUACUAUGGUCCAUCUCUAGGCUAGACUGUGAUGCAGUGGUUAAAGCCAAGUAUUGCAGAAGAGUGAUUAAGCAUUCGUGCUCCAAAGCCAGAUAGCCUAGGUUUCAAUCCCAGCUUUGCCACUUACUUGCUGUGUGAUCUUGUGCAACUCACUUAGCCUUUCUGUGUCACAGUUUCUCCAUCUGUAUAACGGACGAUAACACUAGCCCCUACCUCAUAGGGUCAUUGUGAAGAGUAAAUGAAAUUAAUAUUGCCUAUGUCACAGAGUGAUCCUCCUCAAAAUCUAUUAGAUGAAAAAAGAAAUUUCUAGAAAUUAUCUACAUACAUAUUCUGAUGGGAUUUGUGUAAAGAAUUUAACCAACAAACCCAUAUUACACACACAUACACACACACUCACACAGACACACUCACACACACACACACGCACUCACGUGCGUAGAAGUAGAUCUAGGAAGAUCCAUGACACACAUGCGAGGCAGGUGAAUGGGGACAUUAAAAGGAGGACUUCCACGUUUAAUUCUGAAUGGUCUAUUUUAUUUGUGCAAUUUUUAAAAAUCAAAGCAAUAAAUCACUGUAAAAGAAA
rnacentral:lncRNA from 1 species